AACUUCCUCAACCCGAGAUGAGGUUGUCUCUGGGCGACUAGCCAUCUGGUUCACCAAAACAAGAUUUUCUCUGAUUUUGCAUGUAAGCUGUUUUUGUUUGUCUUUUUUACCACUUUGGUCCUAAAGGGUUUAUUUUCUGUUACCCACUCCCCACAGAACCUCUGCAUUCUGGGAUGGAAUGUAGGGUGAUGGAAUCCUUAGAGGUGGGUGAGAGGAAUCCCACUGGGCCCCCCAGCAUGGCCUGGGGCCUUCCUGGGCUUGGCAGUGGUUAAGAGUGUGAGCACCAGAACCAAACAGCUGGGCUCUGACACUGACUCCCUCCAACCAUAGUCCCGGGACAAACUCACCCCUCCGUUCUUCCCAUUCUGUAUCAGUAGAGCAGAGGAAAAGUGAUGAGCAGCACGUGGGAGUUGUGGGAAUUGAGUCGUUGCCGCUCAAGUGCUUGUACAGGGCCUAGCACUUCGUAACUGCUCACUGCGGGAAAGGGAACAGGUUUAUUAAGGGUUUGAUGAACAGAACUGGAGGAAAUUGGGAGGGGGCAAGGGCCCUGUCCUUAUGCCAGGAACUCCUCCCUUCCUUUCUUCUCCAGGCCUCACUGGGAGCUGCACCCUCUGCUCCUCUGGCCUGGGAAAGAGCCAGAUGUCUUGUCUCCUGUUUCCCAUCAGAGAGGGUUUCCUCUGGCUCCAACGCCUUCCUUGCAGUGUAUGAGGCGGCUUUACCUGCCUCAAAGGUCAGCUAGCAAACACCUAGAGAGUAUUCUAGACAGACCCUGGCUGCAAUUCCCAGGCUUUCCCUGCUAAAUCUGGCAGAAUCUGCCCUGGGGUGUGCCAAAUGUCAAUCACAAGAAGGACAGGUCACACUGCUUCUUCCGAGAAGCCUCUCUAGAUUUCACCGCCCUGCCUUGAACUCUGCCCAUAUCCUGUGUCUCCUGUAACCCUGGGCUCAGCUUGUCCAAAAGCUGUUCCCUGCUAACCAUGGCUAGUGUGCUUCUCGAAUUGUGAGCCAAAAGCAAAUGUUCAAAAGCACAACCAGAGAUUUAUAUGGCAUAGGGGUGUAUUUUCCCAGAGAGCUAAAAAAAGAUUGUAAAAUCGUAAUUAUAUCCACAUUUUAUGCAUAAUUUUUGCAAUAUACUAACCAUAUUUUGAACAUGUUCAUUCAUUUACUUCUGCUACAAUUCAACAUGCAGUCACUCAACAGAUAUCUGUUGAGCACCUCCUAGGUACCAGACACCAUUCCAGGUAUUCAGAAUAUAUCCCUCGUGGGGCGCACAAUCUAAUAACAGAAGGAGAUGGAUAAUGAAAACUUCACAUCAUAAAUGUUAGAUGGUGAUAAGUGCUAUGGGGAGGAAACAAAGGGAGACAAAAGCAGAGCCCAAGAGAGAAGAUCCAGAAUGCAGGUGGAGGGUAGAGUGCAGGUUGCAAUUUAAAACAGGAGGAUCAGGGAAAGCCUCAUUGAUACACUAAGAUUUGAGCAAUGACUUGGAAAGGAGGUGAGGGAUGAGCCGCGUGGAAAUCAAGGAAAGGGCAUUCUGGGUACAGGGCCCUAAGGCGCGAACGUGCCUGGCAUGCAUCUGAACACAGCUUAAUUCUGGUGAGCAUCUGAUUGUGGCUUCUUUGGUCUUCCUUGGGCGUGCCUAAGGACUCCUAUCUUUGUCUCAUUUAUAUUAAGUUCAUGAGAUCUGUGCUUUCUACUCCAGCUUUCCACUCAUCUUUAUAAAACAGUAAGGACAAAAUUAAAUGAAAUGUGCAAAAUAACUGCACAAACUCUGUGCUGGGUGCCUGGUGACGCGGAACCGUCGGCUGGCACGCUGCGCCCCCACGUGGAAGCUUGCAAGGACUGUGUUCUGGACAAGGACCUCCUGAGGCACCCAUGCUGCAGUUCCCAGAGGCUUAAGGACGGCUGCGGGACGUGUGGGCGUCUGGGUUGCACUCUGAAGGACUGCGUUCCCCAUUGCAUGAGGGAAGAAACUGAGGGUGGAGAGGCUCCAGGACAGAGCAGGAUGGUGCUGGUGUUGAACUCUGAGACGACGUGACUACAAUGCCUGUGCCCUUUGCUGGGAGGCUAAUCAGAAUCCAGGAACGAGAGGCUGGGCAGAAACCAGGCCAGGGUGCAUCCCCCACGGCAGGCUGGAGUUGCUGAUGGGAGGAGAGGACUCCAUGGCAGGUGAGAAAAUACCACCCAGGACCUGACUGAGACCCCAUCCGGCAUCAGUCCACGUGAACCCAGUGUCUGCAGGGAAAUUUUACAGUCAAAACCUGUGCAGUCUGCUAUGAACCAAGGAAUAAGGAGGCUGCUGGAAAAGCCAUCAUUUUGCUGGGCUAUUGAUGUUGGUGAGAGUUGAUCACAGUUUGAAAGGUGCAGAAGGCCAUGCCUGGCAAAGAGACAGAUGGGAGACCUCUCUGGUUGGGGCGAGAAUGCUGUGUGGGAUGGCUCAGGGGUGGAGGUAGCGAGCCUGUGCUUGAGCGGGGCCAACCGAGAGUCAAAUCCCGGGCUGCCGCGUGUCGAGUGCGGUGGCCAUGGGUCCAUCCAUGACUUCUCUGAGUCCCUAGUCCCCUACCCGUAAAAACGGAAGCAAUAACACAGACUUCUUAGGUUGUUUUUUUGAGACCUGAGAUAGACCACAUGUGUAAGGCAUUCAGCACAGUGCUUGACUUGUGUAGGGCUCCCAAAGCUGAGCUAUAAUUGGGUAAUUGCUGAUGGUGCUCAGAUUCCAAGGUGAAAGGAGAAGAGACACAGGGAUGCUGAGGGGGAGUUGAGGAGAGGUUGCUGCACAGUCCAAGAGGACCAUAAACAACAUCACAGAGGAGGCACAUGAGGGCUGCCUCACACUCAGCAGAAAGGCCAGAGUGAGGGCGUGCAGCUGGCUCGCAGAGGUGGGCUUUCAAAUCCCAGAGGAAUGGGCUGACUGCACUGCCCAGGCUGUGGUUGCUCCACACUGAGGACUUGGGAUACCCACCUGCCUCAGCUUCUUGGAUGAUCUCCAGAAUGCCAGGCAGCCAGACGUGAGGUCAUGCAUUUACUGUAGGGAGCUGUGCAGCUGGGUGAGGGGAGGGGGCUACCAGGCAGAGGCUCUGCCUGCCUCAAAGUGCUCCAGAGGGGCUGGGUGGGCCCCAAAGUGUUCAGAGGGACUUGAUCAGAGGCCCUCAAGCAAAGCAUGCCUUAGGUGUAGGGUCAGGGGAAAGGGCCCAGCCUCUCUGCCCUCCCAUCUCCAGCCCUGCUUCCAUCUCAUGGGCCUGGGCCACGUGGCCCUUCUAAAUGAAGCUCCUGAGCUAGGUGGAUGUUGGUGCAGACACAACCGACCGGUCUGCCAUGCAUGUGUGAGAACACAGGCUGCUCCAGCGGCCUUGCAGACACCCACCCAGCACCUCAGGCAAUGGAAACCCCCCAGGAAAUGGCCUUGUGUGGGAAGGAGGGCACGCCCCCAACCCUGGACACAACCUCCAGGGUUGAGAGGAGAGGCGGGACCAGGGAAAGGCUGCCCCAGCAGAUUAGGCUUUGAGACAAGGUAAAUGAAGUCAGGGUCACAGAAGGGCUUCUCACCCAACCCUCUCACUUCACAAGUGGGGAAACCGGCCCAGAGAGGGCAAGUAAACAAACAGCGUAAGGAGUUUGUGGUUGUGGAAGGUUGUGAAAUGGCCCCUCAAAAGAUAUUCCCAUUCUAAUACCUGGAACUUGUCAGUGUUACCUUACAUGAGGGGAAAACAGGAGUUUUUGGCAAUGUGAGCAGAUGAAGAAUCUUGUGAUGGGAAGAUUAUCCUGCGGUAUCUAGGUGGGCUGUAAAUACAGUCACAUGCAUCGUUAUAAUCAGACGACAAAGAGAGAUCUGAAAACACACAGAGGAGGCCCCAGUGUGGAGACCAGUAGAGGGAGGCUUGAGAACACGGGCCUUGAACAUCGGAGUUGGUGUGGCCAUAGCCACCGGACCCUGGAAGAGGCGCGUAACAGAUUCUCCCCGCCAGCCCCUGAGUGAGUGCAGCUCUGCCAACUCUUGAUGUUGGCCCAGGGAAACUGUUUUCAGACUUCUGGCCCCCACAACUGCGAGAGAAUAAAUUACGUUGUUUUAAGCUACUAAGGUUUUAGUAAUUUAUUACGGCAGCCACAGGAAACUAAUACAGUGUUUUCCCUGGGCCCGGCCCGGCCUUGGAACUGUGUCGUCCUAUCGGUACCCUGGACCCAUAAGAGGGAGGGAUGGCAGGGGCAGAGAAGGCAGGGACUCCAUUUUCCAUCACAAGCUGUCUCCACCAGCCUCGCUGAGGGAUGGUGAUGGAGAUGUACCAUGUCCUCACUUCCAUUGCCUGAGGUGCUGGGUGUGAUGUGGAGAAGACAUAAGAAACUAACGGCAAACGUGCUCAUUCUGUCCUGCGUGUGCAGCGAGACAGCCGGCAAGCCCAGGAUGCGGGCUGGGCCCUAAACCCCAGCUUCCGGCUGUUAACUGGGCCUUUCGUGUUGACGAAACACAGUUGAGGGUAUUUACAGUGGAUGUGGCUACUGUGUGGCACAUAGUAUUGAGAGCAUCACAUUCAGCAUCUCGCUGUGGCCCGAAGGGGAGCUCCUGGGAUUGAUUAGGAAAGAGCCAUUUGGAGAAGGCACUGUUAAAACUGUUUGGUUUUUCCUGCCCGCCGGCUGAGAAGGUCCUGGAGGAGUCCUGCUUCUGCUGACAGGGUAGGGUCCUGGGCCAGAGAACUGGCUAGAACUCAAGACAAUAAGGCAGGAGUCAGUCAGCCUCAGGAUAUCUGAAAGCAUGGUGAUGUCAGUUCAGAAGACAGGAAAUCAAACCUGCCUCAGUGGCCUGCCAGCUGUGUGGCCAUGGGCAAGGUGCUCCGCCUCCUGGAGGUGGGCACAGUGAGAUGGAAAAGUGGACGUGAAAGGGCUUUUGUCAGCUGUGCAGGUCCAGACCGCCAUGUGAGCGUGCGGGUUUUCCUCCCCAGCUUCUACUCCACCCUGGUCAGGUCUGCCCAUGGAGGGUGAGAGAGCUAGGACAGGAAGGUACUCACGGCUGUCCCUCUCAUGACUGACAAAUGGUGCCAAUGUUAUCCUAGGGUGCACACACACAUUUUCAAGGAAUUGGGGUGGGGGGGAUGGCCUUGUCCCUUGAGAACUAUCAGUCUAGCAGGGGACACUAAACACAUAUGCAGGAAAUGACCUUAUUAGAAAGCAACACACUGAAAAGUGCCAAGUGACACAGCUCGGACUGAACAUGGAAAUGCUCGAAGCCCACACAACUGGAGUGCAGGAGCAGGCUAGACCGAGUCAGAGGACACUCGACACUCUCCUGAAGUCUGACCCCGUGAACGUCAAGGCCCAGGCCCAGGCCUGUGUGUGAGCCAGGGCAGGGGAGUCGGAUGUGGUGUCUGGGAGAAGACUGUCUUAACCAGCUUAGGGCGAAAAGCAGGAAGGGCAUCUCUCUUCUAGUUACUAGAGUGGAAAGGAAAAGGGAAGUUCUGGGUUGGUGACCCUGUGGUCCUCUGAGCAGGCGAGAGCCCAGCACUAAAAUACGACAGUCAUUCUGCUGGGAGGACCCGGCUGAACUUAGCGCUGGGUAGGUGGGGUAGAGUAGGCUAGGGCCUUGGCAAGGAGGAGCCAUGCUGCCCUGGAGCACAUCUCUGGUGCGGCAGAGCCCAGCAUCAGCUCUGACCACUGUGGACAGAGGCCCAUCCCCAGAUGUGAGUCCUUGAUCAACCCCGGGGUUCCGCCUUCUAGGGCUCACAUAGCCAAGGGGAGCCCCAGCCUCACAGAAGCCACAGCAACUAGGCAGAAACCACAGGACUGGCCCAUAUGGCCAGGCGGGCUCAGAGCCGUGGCCUGCUGUUGUUGGGGACAAGGGCGUGAACAUUAAAGAUAGAAGUCACAGUAACUCAUACUCCUCAGAUUGCGGUAAACUGUGUUUGUGCAUAAGGCUGUUACGGUUUUAUUCUUUUCCUCUUUGUCUCCUUC
rnacentral:lncRNA from 1 species